UGAAAUCACACAAUUUGUAUCUUGCUCCAGGAGGAUGCCUUGAACUGGCCAGAAAAUGCUAACACAGUUUCAGGAAGGUUGGGAAAGAAGAGCUGGUUCCCCCCAGGCACAGAGUGGGCUCGAGAAAGCCGGCUGGGAGCAUCUCACAGGAUUCUAAGUAUAGUGCUUUGACCCGACCCUUGCUGCUGGAGGCGUGGGCUGCUCUCCUUCUGGACACAAAAUAAGGAAAUGAAGGCUCUGAGAGGGCCAGCGUCCCAGCCUGCUGGAGAGGCAGGGUUAGUGGGAGACCCCCCGCGUCGUGGUCCAGGACUCCUGCACCGUGCUGCUCCCCAAUUGCAAGAGAAGAACAUAAUUUUCUAAGCAUUGAUGUCCAUUAGGGAGUAAAAUAUGAACACUA